rnacentral:rRNA from 1 species
CAAGUCGAACGCGAAAGCCCCUUCGGGGGUAAGUAGAGUGGCGUCCGGGUGAGUAACACGUAGGUAAUCUACCUCUGGGUGGGGAAUAACGUCUCGAAAGAGACGCUAAUACCGCAUAAUGCAGCGGCACCUAAUGGUGAAUGGUUGUUAAAGCGGGGGACCUUCGGGCCUCGCGCCUAGAGAGGAGCCUGCGGCAGAUUAGCUAGUUGGUGAGGUAAUGGCUCACCAAGGCUUCGAUCUGUAGCUGGUCUGAGAGGACGGCCAGCCGCACUGGCACUGACACACGGGCCAGACUCCUACGGGAGGCAGCAGUGGAGAAUUUUGGGCAAUGGGCGAAAGCCUGACCCAGCAACGCCGCGUGAGGGAGGAAAUCCUUCGGGAUGUAAACCUCACAAGCAAGGGAAGAGCGCGCAGGGGUGAAUACCCCCUGCGUCCGACGGUACCUUGCGUAAGCCACGGCUAACUACGUGCCAGCAGCCGCGGUAAUACGUAGGUGGCAAGCGUUGUUCGGAAUUAUUGGGCGUAAAGGGCGCGUAGGCGGUUUGUUAAGUCAGCUGUGAAAGCCCGGGGCUCAACCCCGGAGGGUCAGUUGAUACUGGCAGACUAGAGUACAGAAGAGGUAACUGGAAUUCCCGGUGUAGCGGUGAAAUGCGUAGAUAUCGGGAGGAACACCUGAGGCGAAGGCGGGUUACUGGGCUGAUACUGACGCUGAUGCGCGAAAGCC